GCUGUGGAUACAGAGUUUGGAUGCCUGAGCCUCAUCCAUGGUACAGAAAUUGCCCUUGGGGUUGCACUAUGAGAAGAACAUCAUGGAGGACACUAUUUAAGAGCUUAGGGGCUGUGCUGGUCCAGGACCCACCUCAGGAAGUCUACUUUUCUUGUCAACCUAUUGAGUGAGAAGCCCUUAUUCUCUCUCAAUCUCUUUUGUUAUUUUCACAGAUUAAUGGGGUAAAAGUACUUUUUGUCACAUGGGUGAAUCGUAUAAUGUUGAAGUCAAGGCAUUUAGUGUACCAGUCACCAGAAUAAUACACAUUAUGCCUAAUAGGAUAUGGGUGAAGAUAGCAGAAUGAGGAGCAUCUAAUACCUGAACUUUGGGGGUGGAUCUGGAUCCUCCAGAACUCCUGAAGUUGGGAAGGAGAAACUUGGCAUGAAGACACUUAAGACAAAGGCUGUGAGAAUUUAACAGUAAGGAAGAGUUUUGCUG